CACAUCUUGCCAUACUUAGGAAGAUUCUUUCCUUGAUUACAUGGUCAACAUUCCCUUUUUUCUCCCCUUUUCACUCCCAUGAUCCCCUUUCGAUCAUCUACACAUAACCAUUUCACUUCUUUAUUUUUUUUCAUUUUUCUUUCCUCUUCUCUCUUUGCUGUCCACCACCUUGCUCACCAAUUUUCUCUCUUUUUUCUUCCAUUUCACCGCCUACGUCACCCUUUUCUUCUCAUUACUCCUCCACUCCACCACCACAAAGGCCGCCACACCUCUACCUCACCACCAC
rnacentral:lncRNA from 1 species